rnacentral:lncRNA from 1 species
GCCUGAUUUAUCUGGCAAAUGUUCCCAACCGGGAAACUGAAGUUUCAUUUCACUGGGUGAGCCAUGGAAGAUUCAACCACAACAGCAGCUUGUUUGAUCUGCAAGCAUGCACUUGUGGAGCGGCUGAACAUAUUCAAGACUCGGACAAACUUUUCCAAAACCCUGGUUUCAUCUAAGCUUUCCAAAUUAGUACAAGUUCCAUUUAAACAGGACUCGCUGGAGAACUCUCAGGAAAUCUGCAAUAGCUG